rnacentral:miRNA from 1 species
GCAGUAAAUAUGUGUGUGUGUGUGUGUGUGUGUGUACACACACACACACACACACACACACACACACACACACAUUUCUUAUUCUGC